rnacentral:rRNA from 1 species
UACGAAGGGUGCAAACGUUGCUCGGAAUUAUUGGGCGUAAAGCGCACGUAGGCGGCUUAGCAAGUCGGAAGUGAAAUCCCUCGGCUCAACCAAGGAAGUGCUUUCGAAACUGCUGAGCUUGAGUACUAAAGAGGAUCGCGGAAUUCCCGGUGUAGAGGUGAAAUUCGUAGAUAUCGGGAGGAACACCAGUGGCGAAGGCGGCGAUCUGGGUCGAUACUGACGCUGAGGUGCGAAAGCGUGGGGAGCAAACAGG